rnacentral:rRNA from 1 species
UACAGAGGUCCCAAGCGUUGUUCGGAUUCAUUGGGCGUAAAGGGUGCGUAGGUGGCGGGGUAAGUCGGAUGUGAAAUCUCGGGGCUCAACCUCGAAACUGCAUUCGAUACUGCCUUGCUUGAGUACUGGAGAGGAGAUCGGAAUUUACGGUGUAGCAGUGAAAUUCGUAGAUAUCGUAAGGAAGACCAGUGGCGAAGGCGGAUCUCUGGCCCGUUACUGACACUGAGGCGCGAAGGCCAGGGGAGCAAACGGG